GGCUUAGAGUUUGAUCAUGGCUCAGGAUGAACGCUGGCGGCGUGCUUAACACAUGCAAGUCGAACGAAGAGAGAUUAGCUUGCUAAUUGAACUUAGUGGCGGACGGGUGAGUAACGUGUGGGCAACCUACCUUAUACAGGGGAAUAAUCACUGGAAACGGUGACUAAUACCGCAUAAUAUUGCGAUAAGGCAUCUUAUUGCAAAGAAAGGAGCAAUCCGGUAAGAGAUGGGCCCGCAUCUGAUUAGCUAGUUGGUGAGAUAACAGCCCACCAAGGCAACGAUCAGUAGCCGACCUGAGAGGGUGAACGGCCACAUUGGGACCGAGACACGGCCCAAACUCCUACGGGAGGCAGCAGUGGGGAAUAUUGCACAAUGGGGGAAACCCUGAUGCAGCAACGCCGCGUGAAGGAAGAAGGUUUUCGGAUCGUAAACUCCUAUCAAUAGGGACGAAGGAAAUGACGGUACCUAAAUAAGAAGCCCCGGCUAACUACGUGCCGGCAGCCGCGGUAAUACGUAGGGGGCGAGCGUUAUCCGGAAUUACUGGGUGUAAAGGGAGCGUAGGCGGCAUGGUAAGUAAGAUGUGAAAGCCCGCAGCUUAACUGCGAGGAUUGCAUUUUAAACUAUCAAGCUAGAGUACAGGAGAGGAAAGCG
rnacentral:rRNA from 1 species